CCAGGGCCAACUAGAAUUAAGAACAAUCGUCUGUGCUAUUUGGGGGAGAGGGGCUUGUAGGAGCAAAGUGUGUACUUUUUCUUUCUGCUUUUAUUGAAAUUGAAAAAAAUGUGAUUCCAGAGGUGUUGGAGGUACGUGGAAGCAGAAGAUGGAUGGGAGAAACUGAGUCCUGGUCUCAUAUUUGAGCCCCAGAGUCCCUGUGACUCAGGUCCACAAGUAGGAAAAGGAAACAAAGGACAGAGCAGUGUAAUGGAAAGAACAUCGGCUUGAGAGCUAUACACAAUGGGGCUUAAAAUUGGAAAUGGCUACUCACAAGCAAGGUGACGUUUCCUAGGUCAUGGAGACUGAAAACAUGCCAAUGCCACUGGAAAAUGAUAUAAAACGUUUCCCGAUGAAAGGGUACGAUGGCAUGGUCUCACCAAUCUUAUUCUUGGGGAAGAACAUGUUAACUGCCUUUCUUCUUGCCGUUCUUUCAAGAUUUGAAGUUUCUCGUUUCAUAUUUAGGGAUUUGAAAAGGACAUUCACAAGCAAUUCUUUAGGAUAUACUUCAGUACGAUGUCAAAAUGGUCCUCGAGAGACAUAUUUACUUCCUCACCUCUCGAAUCUGUGACUAUCCACUUUGUAUGGAAAGAAGAGCAAAUGUUCCCUUUUGUAGCAAAAGAUGUGAUUAAGUUAAGGAUCUUCGCGAAGAAGCACAUAGGUAGGAUUAUCUGGCAAACCAUCAAGGCCAUCACUCCUGUCUUUAUAAGAAAGAAGUGGAGGGAUAUUAGAUAAAGAUCCACAGAGGAGAAAGUGAUCUCAAGACGCAGCAGACAGAGAUGCAUCCCCAAGCCAAGGAAAGCUAACAGGCGGCAGAAGCUGAAGGGGCAAGGAAAGGAUUCUCUCCCAGGGCUUCUGGAGGGAGGGGAGUCCUGCCAAACUCCUGAUUUCAGGCUUCUGGCCUUCACAGUUGUGAGAGAAUGAAUUUCUUCUGUUCUAAAACACCAAGUUUGUGCUCAUCGUUGUAUCAGUCACAGGGAACAAAUAUAGUUACUUAAAAAAAAAAAAAGAAAAAAGAAAUGAAGCUACCCAAGGGAAGUUUUAUGUGAAAUGCAAAAGCACCUUCUAGCCUCUAAGAAUUGUUGAUUGGUCUUUAUUUUUAGGGCUUUCUCUAGGUUAAAUUCAUCCUUAAUCCAUUUUGGUCCCCAAUCCCAUGUUGCAUUAUUCUUGAAGCAUUUCUUCCAGUUAUGGCCAUAAAUGAGGUAUAGGUCUGAGUUACUUGGAUGAAUCUGAGCCUGUGGCUCAAAUUCAAAGUUUCUCUGGUCAUCGGAGUUCCUGGAUAUUCUCUUUCUCUAUUUCCAUUCAUCAUAUAUAUGUUUAUGCCUCAGAAAUAAUAUUAAGCCUUGCAAGAAACAUGAUUAAUUAAUAAAUUAGGCAUGUCCCUUGCCUUUGUGGAGUGUGCAGACCAGUGAAAGAGAAAACUAAAAAGAAAAUUUGCAAUCCAGUGAGAAAAUGUUUAUCCACUGUAUAUGAAGCUGUGUUAUUCUGAUCAGUUUUAUAAUAGUAAUUAUUUUACAGAAUUCUUUCAAAAGUUUAAUGCAAAGAGGGUAUUGACUGGAAUCCAUGCAUAUAACCCUCGUGUGUGUGUGUGUGUGUGUGUGUGUGUGUGUGUGUGUGUGUGUAUGUGUGUGUAUACAUAUAGACACAAACAUGUAGCUUGGAUUCUUAAUAUAAUUUUUUUUGUUCUUUCACUGAAAAGAAGAAAAAGAAACUUGGUUACAGGAUUAUAAAUUCACAUUUCUAGUGCUCCGGCAUUAAAAGUGCUAGCAAUUGUACAAUUUGAAGGCAAAAAUUAAAAUUCCAUUCCCUCAUGCCAAACUUGUCAAGUCUUUCCAGAGUAACAUAGCAAGUGCUAAGGGACGCCUUAGAAUUUACUUCUUGCUUUAAGUAAGUUUCAUUACCAGCAUCCUUUCUUUGUAACACUAUUCCUAGUGUAGAAUGUUCAGAAAGAACUUUAAUUUACUGUUUCAUUACGAGGCUGUCAACAGACAUGUACUAGCCAUUUGUUAAGCGUUGGAAAAUAAAGCAAAAUCAGGUGCAAAGCCUGACAAAAGAAGCCUGAUGAAGAAGAUGGAUAUUAAAACAGACUCCUUUCUCUGUAGAGCAUCUUAUGAAAUCACAUGAACCAUAAGAAAUAGCGAAUAUUGAAUUAUUUUUGACCUACAAAAACUGUGAUUUCAUAUUGUUCAGUACAAUAAUUAAUGGAGACUUGGCAGCUCACAGGUGAAUUCAUUUGGACUUAGUGUAGUGUGCCAAAUCUGGUAAGUUUAUUUGGGCCAGUUUUCAGUUUGUUUCAAUCAUACUCACCAGAAACGAGUGGUUCUAUUUUUUCCUCAGAGGUACAUAGAGACUACACUGGAUUUUUGCAAACACCUCUAAGAAAUAUUCAACUUUCAUUAGCCUGCAGUUUUAGCAAAAGAAGACAUCCUUCUCAUUUAAUUAAGUUCCCUAAUACUCUAGAUCAGUAUUCCUAAUACUCUAUACCAGAUAGUAUAUAUUUUAGAUUUAUAGGUCAUAUUUUCUCUGUAGUGAUUACUCAACUCUGCCGUUAUAGCACGAAUAAACCAUAGACGACAUGUGA